UACAGAGGUCUCAAGCGUUGUUCGGAUUCAUUGGGCGUAAAGAGCUUGUAGGCGGUUUGUCGCGUCUGCUGUGAAAUUUCGGGGCUCAACCCCGAACUUGCAGUGGGUACGGGCAGACUAGAGUGUGGUAGGGGAGACUGGAAUUCCUGGUGUAGCGGUGAAAUGCGCAGAUAUCAGGAGGAACACCGGUGGCGAAGGCGGAUCUCUGGGACGGUACUGACGCUGAGACGCGAAAGCGUGGGGAGCGAACAGG
rnacentral:rRNA from 1 species